rnacentral:lncRNA from 1 species
AACAAUAACAUCAUUAACAAACAUCAUCAAUAAUAGCAUCAUCAACAAACAUCAUCAACAAUAGCAUCAUCAACAAACAUUACCAACAAUAGCAUCAUCCACAAUAGCAUCAUCCACAAUAGCAUCAACAAUAAGAUCAACAACAAACAUCAUCAUUAAUAGCAUCAUCAACAACAAUAGUGGCAUCAAGACACAAAUAUCAUCAAAAAUAGCAUCA